GGGGAUGACAUGAAUCGACAAGGAACGUAUCGAUAAGAAUUCGAAGCUGAGGUAGACCACAAACUCAUAAAACUGGUUACAAAUAGUAAGUGCAAACUUAUUUAGCGCUAAUAAACCAGCGUUUGCUGUAGCUUAAAAUCUAUCAGCCAUCGCCCUGUUUUCGCCCGAGUAAACAGUGUGCGGUGCCAACCUUUCGGGCCGCUCUUUCAGGCCAGGCGAACUUGAAAGCUAAGACAACGCCAAAAGUUUAAUUUUUUUCACCAUUCUUUAAGGGUUAAACUUAAAUUAAGAAUGGUUAGGCUUCGUACUAGUUCAAUCGAGAAAUUUUUUGUACGCGGGUUCAAUUCCCGCCAUCUCCACUG
rnacentral:tmRNA from 1 species